rnacentral:ncRNA from 1 species
UACGGCGAAGCUACCAUCUGCUGGAUUACGGCUGAACGCCUCUAAGCCGGAAUCCAUGCUGGAUAAGCAGUGUUGUACACCGUGCUCAAUGCUACAAGAAAAAGGCUAGGUCAGGCUUCGGCCUGACCAAAAUUCAAGCUGCUAUACCUCUGGCUGCAUUGACUUGUGGUCAGAGUGUAUGGUGAUCAUAGCAAUUGCAAGUAUUGGGCUCGAUAAAUCCUUUGAAGACGACUUAAUUGCAUCCGGGUAUUGUAAGUGUUGAGAGUAGGCUUAGUCUUACGAUCCACUGAGAUUCAUCCCGUGUUGCGCCGAUUUGU